rnacentral:rRNA from 1 species
UACGUAGGGCGCAAGCGUUAUCCGGAAUUAUUGGGCGUAAAGAGCUCGUAGGCGGUUUGUCGCGUCUGCUGUGAAAGACCGGGGCUCAACUCCGGUUCUGCAGUGGGUACGGGCAGACUAGAGUGCAGUAGGGGAGACUGGAAUUCCUGGUGUAGCGGUGAAAUGCGCAGAUAUCAGGAGGAACACCGAUGGCGAAGGCAGGUCUCUGGGCUGUAACUGACGCUGAGGAGCGAAAGCACGGGGAGCGAACAGG